CACCGCGGUUAUACGAGAGGCCCAAGCUGACAGCCUUCGGCGUAAAGAGUGGCUUAUGAUCAUUUAACUAAAGCCAAACAUCUUCAUAGUUGUUUAAAACCACGUAGACAGGAAGUCCCUACGAAAGUAGCUUUAAUUAAUAUAACCCCACGAAAGCUAAGGAA
rnacentral:rRNA from 1 species